GAUGAACGCUGGCGGCGUGCCUAAUACAUGCAAGUCGAGCGAAUGGAUUAAGAGCUUGCUCUUAUGAAGUUAGCGGCGGACGGGUGAGUAACACGUGGGUAGCCUGCCCAUAAGACUGGGAUAACUCCGGGAAACCGGGGCUAAUACCGGAUAAUAUUUUGAACUGCAUGGCUCAAAAUUGAAAGGCGGCUUCGGCUGUCACUUAUGGAUGGACCCGCGUCGCAUUAGCUAGUUGGUGAGGUAACGGCUCACCAAGGCAACGAUGCGUAGCCGACCUGAGAGGGUGAUCGGCCACACUGGGACUGAGACACGGCCCAGACUCCUACGGGAGGCAGCAGUAGGGAAUCUUCCGCAAUGGACGAAAGUUUGACGGAGCAACGCCGCGUGAGUGAUGAAGGCUUUCGGGUCGUAAAACUCUGUUGUUAGGGAAGAACAAGUGCUAGUUGAAUAAGCUGGCACCUUGACGGUACCUAACCAGAAAGCCACGGCUAACUACGUGCCAGCCGCCGCGGUAA
rnacentral:rRNA from 1 species